UACGUAGGGUGCGAGCGUUGUCCGGAAUUAUUGGGCGUAAAGGGCUCGUAGGCGGUCUGUUGCGUCAGGAGUGAAAACUCGGGGCUUAACCCCGAGCCUGCUUCUGAUACGGGCAGACUAGAGGUAUGCAGGGGAGAACGGAAUUCCUGGUGUAGCGGUGAAAUGCGCAGAUAUCAGGAGGAACACCGGUGGCGAAGGCAGGUCUCUGGGCCACUACUGACGCUGAGAAGCGAAAGCAUGGGGAGCGAACAGG
rnacentral:rRNA from 1 species